ensembl:lncRNA
UUUUUUUUUUUUUUUUUUUGGUAAAGCUGGUCCUAUAACAUUUUUGAAUGAAAAGAAUUACUUUCUUAUUCAGCUGUGAUGAAGAGUAAAAGAACAUUUCUUGGUAGCUAAGACAUGAGCCCUCUGGAAUGGAUGCUAUGCUAUUGGAUUCUGUUUCAUUUUUCAUUAACUCAUUUAUUAAAUAUAUUUUGAGAAUUAAUUAUGCUGUAACCUUGUACUUGUAUUAGUUUACUAGGACUGCUGUAACAAAACACCACAGACUGGGUGUCUUCAACCACACAAAUUUAGUUUCCCAGAGUUUUAGAGUCUAGAAGCCCAAAAUCAAAAUGUCAGUGGAGCUGGUUUCUCCUGAGAGGUAUCUCUCUGACUUCCAGGUGGUUGCUUUCAUCCUGUGUCUUCACAUGGCAUUUUCUGUGCCUGUGCAUUCCCGAUAUCUGUAUUCGUGUACAAAGUUUUGCAGUCUCACUAUAUGGCUUCUUUGUAUUUAUUUAUUUUAUAAUUUCAUUGAAGUAUAGUUGAUUUACAAUAUUGUAAUAAUUUCAGAUUACAGAAAAGUUAUUCAGUUAUAUAUUCAUAUGAAUAAUAUAUUCAUAUUAUUAUCAUACUUUUCAUGUUAUUUCUUUGGAGAAUUGUCUAUUUAGGUUUUCUGUCCAUUUUUUAUAUGAGUUGUUCAUUUUUCUGAUAUUGAGUUGUGUAAGCUAUUUGCAUAUUUUGAACAUUAACCUCUUGUUGAUCACAGUGUUUGCAAAUAAUUUCUUGCAUUCCAUAAGCUAUCUCUUUAUUUUGUUGAUGGUUUUCUCUGUUGUGUAAAAGCCUUUAAGUUUGAUUAGUUCUCAUUCAUUUAUUUAUGCUUUUAUUUCUUUUGCCUUGGGAGAGUGAUCUAAGAAAAUAUUGCUAUGAUUUAUGUCUGAGAAAGUUUUGCAUAUGUUCACUUCUAGAAGUUUUGUAGUAUCAUGACUUAUAUUUAGGUCUUUAAAACAUUUCGAUUUUAUUUUUUAAAAUAGUGUGAGGGAGUGCUAUAAUUUCACUGAUUUACAUGUAGCACUCCAGCUUUACCAACACCACUUUCUGAAGAGAUUGAAUUUCCUCCACUGUAUAUUCUUGUAAUUGCUUCUUUUUAACUUAAUUGUUUAUUCAAAUAAAUGACAUUCUGAGGUACUGGGACUUAGUUCUUCAACAUGUGAAUUUAGGGAGAGAUACAAUUUAGCCCAUAGAAAUCAUAAUCUCUAAAGAUAAAAGUAGGAAUAAAACAAAUAAGAUCCUAGUUCCCAUAGUACUUACAUACUAUGGGAACAUGGUUACUAUAUGGGUCAAUAUAUAUUGAAAUUACCAUGAUAAAAAUCAUUUUAAAAAUAAACAAGAACAGAAUGUUACAUGCUUAAGUAGAGCUGGUUACUGUCUUUCCAAGGAGGUGAUAUGCCAUCUAGAAGAUGCAAUAAAAUAAGCCAUUCAGUGAAACUGAAAACCUUGGCUCUCAAGUGUAAUAAUUCAUGUGAUAAGACUCUGGAAUGGAGAAACCUGUGUGCAUUCAAGGGUAUUACCAUAGAUAUAUUGCUAGAAUAGAGUGAACAGAAGAAGAGAACUAUGAUAAAAGUUUGAAAAAAUAUGCAGACAACAAAUGGCAUGGAACAUUAUAAACCACAGCAAGUAGAAGGGUUACAAUCUAAAUUUGAAAAAAAAAAAGAAUUGAAUUGAAGUGUAAGAAGAAAAAUAACAUAACUGAUGUAUGUUCUUUAAAAAUUCAGAGUCUUCUUUUGAGUAUAUACAAGGUAGCAUAAGAGAAGAAAUAAUGAAAAUCUUUUGAAGUAAUUCAGAGAUGACAUAGUAGUUUGAAAUAAUAAGUAGAAGCAAAAAGGAAAACAGUGGGUAGAAUUAAAAUAUAUUUGGGUGGGAGAUAAAUGGUCUUGCGAAGGAUCUGAGAUUUUUCCUUCUAUAGGCUAAAAUGCUAGGCUGUCAUAGUUUAAUUGAUGCCAGCAGAGGACAUGAAGCUCUUGGAUCCAACAGAAGUUAGCCAACUGCAGUUAAUGGUACUGGUAGAAGACGUAAGAAUUCUAGAUCAAAGACAAUGGGAAAUAACCAAUAGCCACAGUACAAGAAAUUUCUUUUACCAGUUCGCUGAUAUCCAAUUCUUAUAGAGUAACAUGAAGGGGGCUGAGUGACACUUAGGUAGUGAGGAUUUUUAUAGGAGAGAAUCACUGAGAUUGGGGAAUUCAACAACUUUACAAUGAGUAGUAAGCAAAUUUACUUUUGGCUCUGAAGGGAAAUACUAUGUAUAUUGUCAGAUACUGUAAGAAAAUCUACUCCUUGCUCUGUUGGAGACAUUAUAUCUGUUUAUUAAGGCUGCAUAUAAUAUAAACAUCCUUGAAAAUGUAGCUAAGAAAAUAAGGAGAUCAGUGCUAUUGCUCACGGGAUGUGUAGAAACAUGACAUAUAUAAGCAGAGUUGUUUUCCAAUAAUAUCUAGCCUGUAUACUCUGUCUUGGCUUCUGGAAAAUUAUCCCAUGAGUACACUGAUCCAUUAGCAACUCUGAUUAAUCUGACAGGUUGGGAACAAAUCUAUUCAACUUGUCUGAUAUGGCAUUUAACUAGGGCUACUAUCAAUAAAUCUCAAAUUAGCAGCAUGGGAUUAAAAAUGCAGUACACAUUUCAACCAUAUUUCCCAGGAUUCCAGAUAUAAACUAUUGAAAAAACAAAACAAACAAAAAAUCUUUUAACUAUUAGGCUUUCGUUUAGAAAAACAAGUUGCUUUCUACUAAAUUUCUUUAGUGGCAUUUUUCUUGCCUGAGGCAUUAAUCAAAGUAGAACAGGAUCUAUUAUCCAUUACUUAGACUUUACUAUGACUUGCAAGGGAGUAUCUAUGACACAUCUGUCAUCCAUAACAACAGCUGCCAUUGAGUUGAGGCUGACCUGAGUGCCUUCUUUGAACUGAAGUGCUAUCAUUGAUCACUUCAGCUAAAGUAAGGGACAAACAACAUUUGUGACCAAUGGAGUCACUUCCAUUGUAAGCAUAAGAGCCUUUAAAGUGUCAUAAAUGAGUAUCUCUCCAAGAAGCUCUUCAGAGUAACCAAGAUGGUGACUAUUUGGAAUGGCCUCUACAAUUUUCUAAGAGUUAAAUGACUUUUGGGUUGUAUUUUCUUAAAUAGUUGAAGGUAGUUACCCCCUUCUAAUGUGUAAGCUACAGUGUUUUAGGAAAGAAGCAAGUGAGUGUCUGAACUUCCAUACAAGAAAUUUAGUCAUGCCCUCUACAAUGUUUAAAACUCUUGGGGGCCCCUGAGUGAAACCUAGAUCUGUCAGUACCUCUAACAUGGUCUUCAUAAUGGCAGAUAUGUCUAGGGAUUUCAAAUUUGUUUAAAAUUAUUGAGCUUAGUCUUUGAUUUUGGGGAGACGAUUGAGAAAAAUAAGUCAAAAAAAUCCUAUUUCUCCAUGCUUCCAAUCCAUGAAAUGACAGAGUAAUUAAUAAGUAGGAUAUUGGGAGUAGAGAAAUCAAGAUGUGAAGGCAAGUGUUCUGUAAAAGAUGGAUUAGAGCUUGGGGCAUGCCCUGCAAUUAUAUAAAGAAUUUUCAGUGAAAUUAAGGAAAAUGAUAAUGACAUCAUAGUGAUAUUAUUCUGAUAAGUAAUGGCCAACCAAACCAAUUCUUAAAAUGAAAACAGUCAUGACUUGAUCAGAAUCAAAUUGGCAAAGUAGGAAGAUCCUGAGUUCACUUCUUCCCAUGGGCACAAAAACAGUGCAACUACUUCAAGCAGCUAUCUCUGAGAAUGACAUGAAGCCAAGCAGAAAGAUUUUACAUCUCUAAAUAUAUAAGGAAAGAGACACAAUGACACACCCGGAGGAGUUAGGGCUUCAGGUCCCACAUUGAUCUCCCUAAACUAGAGGUCGUGUCUCUAGGAGACAGGCCUCCAAAUGUCUGACUAUGAAACCCAGGGAAGCUUAUAUUUGUGAGAGUUCAGAGAUUUGGGGGCCACUAAGACUCAGCUCUUAAAGGGCAUACUCAAAAUGUCACAUGUUUUGGGUCCUACACAUAGACAGUAACUUGAAAGGUGCCCAGGUCAGACCCAUUUGCUGGUCUUAGCCUUCCAAAGAGACAGGAGCAGCUGCAAACUCCCAGGGUACUGGGAUAGUGGUAGCAAUAGUUUUUGUAAUUUCAUUCUACUGUGCUGAUACCAGCAAUGGCAGGUACCAUGUUAGAAUCCUCCCUCUAGCCAGUUAGUGUCAGGGACUUGCCUACCCAUCAACACACACACAGCAGUCACACACCAGCAGAUCUUGUGGCUACUCAUGCCAGAGGCCUACCUCAUCAGAGCACCCUUAGGGAGUAACUUGCAGCCAGGCUUAACAGCCAGCUGUGCUAGGGCCUUGUUUUAUCCACCAGGACACUGGCAACAACCACAUGAAACAGGUCCUCACAGCAUGUUGGGCCAAGGGCAAGCCUCACCUACCAGUAUACCAGCGGUAGUUGGCCAUGACACAAAAGAAUAGUGACAAGUAUACAUAGACCACAUAGGCAAUACCAUUGGAGCAUCUAGCUCUGAUGGCCAGUGGGAACCAUGCUGCUGGGCCCCACAGGACAUCUACAGAAGGGCACAUCUCCAAGACUGAGAGACCUAAUGGAUUUAGCUAACACAAAGAAAGAAACACCAAAAAUUAGCCAAAGUGAGGAGACAGAAAUGUGUUUCAAAAAGAAAACAAGGCAAAAUGUCAGAAAAAAUAACUUAAAAAAAAAUGGAGAUAGAUAAUCUACCUAACAGAGUUCAAGGUAAAAAAAUCAGAAGGAUGUUCACCAAACUUGGAAGAAGAAUGAAGGAACACAGUGAGAACUUCAACAGAGAUUUAGAAAAUAUAAAAAAAAAGAACUAAUACAGUACUUUAAAUAAAAAAUAUGUUAGACAGAAUUAACAGUAAAGUUAGAUUAGCUUAUACAAAAGAAUGGAUUGAUGCUCUAAAAGAAGAAGCCACUAAGCUGAACAGAAAAACAGAAAAUAAUUUUUUGAAAUGAGGACAGUUUAAGGAAUAUCUGGGACAACAUCAAGUGUAUUAACAUUCACAUUUUGGGGGUUAAAGAAGGAGAAGAGAGAAAGAGGCAGAGAACUUAUUUAAGAAAUAAUAUAACAGAAAAUUUUCCCUGAGGAAGAAAAAUGCAUCCAGGUAAGGAAGCACAGAUAGUCUCAAAUAUGAUGAACUCAAAGGAGUCCACACUAAUACACAUUAUAAUUAAAUGUCAAAAUUAAAUAUAAAGAGAAACAUCUUAAAAGCAGCAAGAGGAAAUCAACUGGCUAUGUAUAAGGAAACUCCAAUAAGACCACAAGCUGACUUUUCAGUAGAAAUUCUGCAGGCCAGGAGUGAGUGGUAAAAUAUAUUUAAAGAGAUGAAAGGAAAAAGCCUAUAACCAAGAAUACUCUAUCUUGCAAGGUUAUUAUUCAGAAUUAAAGGAUAGAUCAAAAGUUUCACAGACAAGCAAAGCUAAAUAAGUUUAUCACCACCAAGCCAUCCUUACAAGAAAUAUCAAAUUAAAAAUGCCACGAAAGUAAAAGUGAGAGUUAGGAAAAAGUUAUCCCAUGCCAAUAGAAACAAAAAUAAUCCUGAAUAGUGAUACUUUAAAGUAAGACUUUAAAAUAAACACUGUAAAAGAGACAAAGAACAAGGGAUCAAUCCAAGGAGAUAUAACACUUGUAAAUAUAUACGCACCCAAAUUUACAGCACUUAAAUACAUACAGCAAAUAUUAACAGACAUUAGAGGAGAAACAGAGUAACACAAUAAUACCAAAGGACUUUAACACACACCCCUACUUAUAUCAAUAGAUUAUCCAGGUAGGAAAUCAAUAAGGAAACACCGGACUUUAAUACAUUAGAUGAGAUAAACUUGGUAAAUAUAUACAGAAAAUUAUACCCCCAAACAGCAGAAUACACAUUUCUUUCAACUACACAAGGAACGUUCUCUAGGACACAUCACAUUUUAGACCAAAAGUGAGU